UACGUAGGGACCGAGCGUUGUCCGGAUUCAUUGGGCGUAAAGAGCUCGUAGGCGGCUGUUCAAGUCGAACGUGAAAACUCGGAGCUCAACUCCGAGCCUGCGUUCGAGACUGGAUGGCUAGAGUCUGGUAGGGGGAUCUGGAAUUCCUGGUGUAGCGGUGGAAUGCGCAGAUAUCAGGAGGAACACCGGUGGCGAGGGCGGCAUCCUGGACCGACAUUGACGCUGAUGAGCGAAAGCUAGGGGAGCAAACGGG
rnacentral:rRNA from 1 species